rnacentral:rRNA from 1 species
CCUACGGGAGGCAGCAGUGAGGAAUAUUGGUCAAUGGGCGCUAGCCUGAACCAGCCAAGUAGCGUGAAGGAUGACUGCCCUAUGGGUUGUAAACUUCUUUUAUAUGGGAAUAAAGUGCAGUAUGUAUACUGCUUUGCAUGUACCUUAUGAAUAAGGAUCGGCUAACUCCGUGCCAGCAGCCGCGGUAAUACGGAGGAUUCGAGCGUUAUCCGGAUUUAUUGGGUUUAAAGGGAUCGUAGGCGGGUUGUUAAGUCAGUUGUGAAAGUUUGUGGCUCAACCGUAAAAUUGCAGUUGAUACUGGCAUCCUUGAGUACAGUAGAGGUAGGCGGAAUUCGUGGUGUAGCGGUGAAAUGCUUAGAUAUCACGAAGAACUCCGAUUGCGAAGGCAGCCUGCUGGACUGUAACUGACGCUGAUGCUCGAAAGUGUGGGUAGCAAACAGGAUUAGAUACCCUAGUAGUC